rnacentral:rRNA from 1 species
CCCUUAGAUGUUCUGGGCCGCACGCGCGCUACACUGACGAAGUCAGCGAGCAUGUCCUACGCCGACAGGUGCGGGGAAUCUUGUCAAACUUCGUCGUGAUGGGGAUUGAUUAUUGAAAUUCUUGAUCAUCAACGAGGAAUUCCUAGUAAGCGCAAGUCAGCAGCUUGCGUUGAUUACGUCCCUGCCCUUUGUACACACCGCCCGUCGCACCUACCGAUUGAAUGGUCCGGUGAAAUCUUCGGAUUGAGACUUUGAUUUCUUCACGGAAAACGCUGUUUUAAAAAGUUGAUUAAACCUUACCAUUUAGAGGAAGGUGAAGUCGUAACA